rnacentral:rRNA from 1 species
GCACCACAAGGGGUGAAGCCUGCGGUUCAAUUGGAGUCAACGCCAGAAAUCUUACCCGGAGAGACAGCAGAAUGAAGGUCAAGCUGAAGACUUUACCAGACAAGCUGAGAGGUGGUGCAUGGCCGUCGCCAGCUCGUGCCGUGAGAUGUCCUGUUAAGUCAGGUAACGAGCGAGAUCCCUGCCUCUAGUUGCCACCAUUACUCUCAGGAGUAGUGGGGCGAAUUAGCGGGACCGCCGUAGUUAAUACGGAGGAAGGAAGGGGCCACGGCAGGUCAGUAUGCCCCGAAACUCUGGGGCCACACGCGGGCUGCAAUGGUAACGACAAUGUGUUCCGAAUCCGAAAGGAGGAGGUAAUCCAGAAACGUUACCACAGUUAUGACUGAGGGCUGCAACUCGCCCUCACGAAUAUGGAAUCCCUAGUAACGGCGCGUCAUUAUCGCGCCGUGAAUACGUCCCUGCUCCUUGCACACACCGCCCGUCGUUUCAUUGAAGUUUGCUUUUAGCGAGGUGACGUCUAAUUGGCGUUAUCGAACUUGAGGUAAGUGACAAGGGAAAAGUCGUAACAAGGUAACC